UGCCAGCCGCCGCGGUAAUACGGAGGGUGCAAGCGUUGUCCGGAUUUAUUGGGUUUAAAGGGUGCGUAGGCGGCCUAUUAAGUCAGUGGUGAAAGGUAUCAGCUUAACUGAUGACGUGCCAUUGAAACUGAUAGGCUUGAGUACAGACGAGGUAGGCGGAAUUUAUGGUGUAGCGGUGAAAUGCAUAGAUACCAUAAAGAACACCGAUAGCGAAGGCAGCUUACUAGGCUGAGACUGACGCUGAGGCACGAAAGCGUGGGGAGCGAACAGGAUUAGAUA
rnacentral:rRNA from 1 species